rnacentral:rRNA from 1 species
GCGGUAAUACAGAGGGUGCAAGCGUUAAUCGGAAUUACUGGGCGUAAAGCGCGCGUAGGUGGUUAGUUAAGUUGGAUGUGAAAUCCCCGGGCUCAACCUGGGAACUGCAUUCAAAACUGACUGACUAGAGUAUGGUAGAGGGUGGUGGAAUUUCCUGUGUAGCGGUGAAAUGCGUAGAUAUAGGAAGGAACACCAGUGGCGAAGGCGACCACCUGGACUGAUACUGACACUGAGGUGCGAAAGCGUGGGGAGCAAACAGGAUUA